UACGUUCCCGGGCCUUGUACACACCGCCCGUCAAGCCAUGGAAGCUGGGGUGCCUGAAGUCGGUGACCCGCAAGGGAGCUGCCUAGGGUAAAACUGGUAACUGGGGCU
rnacentral:rRNA from 1 species